UCAAACCUGAGAGUUUGAUCCUGGCUCAGAACGAACGCUGGCGGCAUGCUUAACACAUGCAAGUCGAACGAGAUCUUCGGAUCUAGUGGCGCACGGGUGAGUAACGCGUGGGAACCUACCAUUCUGUACGGAAUAACGUCUGGAAACGGACGCUAAUACCGUAUACGCCCUGUGGGGGAAAGGUCCGCCGCAGAAUGAGGGGCCCGCGUCCGAUUAGCUUGUUGGUGAGGUAAUGGCUUACCAAGGCGACGAUCGGUAGCUGG
rnacentral:rRNA from 1 species